CUCUGCGAACACGGAAAUAAAAGCUGAACAGACUCUCUCUCUCUCUCACACACACACAGAGUCAGACUGAGCUGCACAGCAGUCAUGUGACAAACCGGUUGCUGCUGGUGGAUUUGGUCGCUGGUAGCCUAUCUCAGUGAGCCGCUUACUGUUGACAGUGCUGGAGGUCAAAGAGAGUAUGGCUGCUCCCUUUUCAGGGCAGGGAAAGCACCAGAGAAAGUUCACUGCACAACAAGUAUUGGAUCUACUCGAAGCUGAUGAUAGUGACUUUGGCCCUGAGCUGGACAGCGACAGCGAUUCUGAUGAAUUGUAUCAACCGCAUGAAAGCGAUGGUGGUGAAUCCUCUGCCGAAGACAGUGACUCAUCCAAUCACUUGUCCAGUGAUGAAGAUGUGCCAUUUGCUGAGACUGCUAGCGUACAGAUGGAGCCAAAUCGUGCCGCAAAAAAACGUAUAAAUGGCGAAAGAAAGGCUUUGAGUUGCCUGAUGUGAACUUUCUUGGUGAACACUGGUUUACUUUCGGCGCUUUGUUUCCUUUGAUAUGUUGGAAAAUAUUGUUGAGCACACCAAUCAAUACAGUAUUCAAAAGCAUGGGAAAUGUGUUGACACUUCAGUAAAAGAGAUAGGACAAGUUCUUGGACUGUAUCUCAGGAUGGGAUUAGUUCAAAUGUCUGGAGUACGUCAGUACUGGGAAAACGAAGUUCGUUAUGGGCCUGUGGCAGACAUAAUGAGUCACAACCGAUUCAGCCAGCUACUCUCUGUCAUUCACUUUGUAGACAAUGAAAUGGCCAGUGAAGAAGUAAAAAAGGAUCGACUGUGGAAACUAAGACCGUUUUUGGAUUCUUUUCGGAGACAAUGUUUGACUAUUGCGCCUCGCCAAAAACAGUCCAUCGAUGAGAUGAUGGUGCUGUACAAAGGAAAAUUUGGUGGCAUAAGGCAGUAGAUCAAAGGGAAGCCACAUCCGUGGGGAUUCAAAGUGUGGGGGCGCUGCUGUGUCACUGGCUUCCUGCAUGAUUUUGAUAUAUAUCAAGGAAAAGGAGGUGCCAAUGAGCAAAAAGGGAAGAGUCAGUUGGGAGUUGGUGGAGACAUUGUGGUGAAGCUAUGCGACUCGCUUGCAGAGAAAGUAUGUUUCCUGAUUUUUGCUGACAAUUUCUUCACUUCAAUGCCUCUCAUUGAGAAAUUAUUGGCAAAGGGAAUCUACUACACAGGAACUAUUCGAAAAAAAACACAUGUCAAAGUGCACCCUGAUGACAGACAAAGACCUGUCCAAGAAAGGCCGUGGAUCAUAUGAUCAUCGAAUCGAGUCCAAUACCAAUACUGUGUGUUUGAAAUGGCAAGACACAAAAGCAGUCACUUUGAUGUCAACAGAUGCUGGACCAGAGCCUUCGGGAAAAGCCCGCCGCUGGGACAAGUCCAAAAAAAAGAGUACAUCAACAUUGAUCAGCCAAACAUCAUCAAGGAGUACAACGCUUUCAUGGGAGGAGUUGACAUGCUGGAUGCACAUCUUGCACGCUGUAAGUUUCCCAUCAGGACCUGUCGCUGGUAUAUGAUACUUUUCUGCCAUUUUUUGUCUGUUGUGGUGAUCAACGCAUGGCUUCUUUACCAGCGUGACUGUGAGGCCCAGGGAAUCCCAACAUCGAAAGUACUCAAACUUCGCAAGUUUCAGGGUUUGGUUGCUGAAGGCUUGGUUCAAGUUGGAACAGCAAGAAGUCGGGGUAGGCCAACAAGUUCUGGCUUCUCCUCCCCGCCACCACAAAAAUUUGUUCGAGUUUACAAGAGUGCAGAUGUUCGUUUCGACCAAAUCGCCCAUUGGUCUGUCAAGAAGGAACAUUGCCAUCACUGAACUGUGUGCAAGGACCUCAAAACUGAUAUGCAGUGACUGUGAAAACUGUGCCUCGUGUUCUUUUGUUUCAAACUGAAUCCAGUUCUGACAUGCAACAAAUUUAAAAAAACAACAAAAAAAACAACAACCUUGUUAAAUGUAGCUGUGUGGUUGAUUUAUUUACCCAACUUUAAAAUAGUUUACAUUGACAGUGUUUGUUAUUGUGAUUUUUUAAAAUGAUAUGCCUAAAGCCCAAUGGGUCAAAUUUGACCCAAAUCCUAAAUCAGGGAAUAAAGGGUUAAUAUUGAAAAAGUGGAUAUUUUGGUGUUCAGUGAACUUAUAUAAGUCAUUUAAUGCAUAGUUCAUAAUUUUCCAAAGAAGGCAAUGGUUCUUGGGUUCUCCAGGGUUAACUUGAUGCACUGUGGUAUCAAAACAGGGCCCCACCUUGCUUGCCUUUCAUGAAAUAAACUAAUUAUGUGUUUCACUAACACAUUUAUAGUCAAAUUCUGAAGUCUUCUUACUGUUUCAUCUUCACAGAAUGUGCCAUUGUGGUUCAUGAAGGAGUGUACAGCCUUUCUCUAUCAUUUUCUAGGAAGAUGGGAAAUAGUUGCAGUGAUUUAUUACAGUAUGUAAGGAAAAACAGUUUUGUACACUUCUUAGAAGCUUGAAAGUCAAUAUUUGGUAUGAUUGUCCUUUAUACUUCAGUUUUGGCUCUCUUCGGUUUCUGUUCUCUAUCACGAUUAACCCACACUGCUUCAGUUAUGUUGACAUCUGAGCUCUGGGGAGGCCAAUCCAUCACUGAUAAUUUUCCUUGUGUGCUUUUCUAUUUAUGUCUAUAUCAGCAGUGUGUUUGAAAUUGUUGUUGUGCUAAAAAAUAAAGCUGUGGCUAAUCAGGUGUUUUCCAGAUGGUACUGGUAAAAUAAAAUCUGAUGGGUUUUUUCUGCAUUCACAAUUCCAUCAAUGUCUUGUUUUUUUUUUUUUUUUUUUUUAACUGAAGGUGUGGAGUAAUUUAAAAUAUAAAUAAAUAAAUUAAACCUUAUCUGGACUCCGAUGUAAGUCUUAACUUUAUGUUGUGGUUUUUGAGCCAUGUUGAAGUAUGUUUAAUGUUGUUAUCUGGCAGAUUAAGACCUCCAACGCCACGGGUUGAAAUGCAGCAUCAAAUCAUGACAGAGCCUCUACCGUGUUUUACACAUGGCUGUAGAUACUGUUGUGUUUGAAUGAUAUGUUAAAUAUGUAUGAUGUGUAAACGAUUAUGUUCGGAUUCAUCACGCCAUAAAAUCCGUUUCCAUUGAUUUUCAGUCAUGUUAAUGUGUAAUCUGUCAUACCUUGCCCCCCCCCCCCUUCCUUAAGAAUGGCCUCUUGACAGUCAGCUUUCCACUGCGACCAUUUCUGAUCAGGCUUCAGUGAACAAUAGAUGAAUCAACUAAAGGAUCAGAUGAAUCUCUCAGGUUUUUUUGCUGGAUUUUCUCUGUCUUAAGUACGACUUUUCAGAUGUUUGCCUGCAACAGAGAUUUUACGCCUGUCAUGAUUUCUUUUGUCCUCCACUUGUCCAGUUUCUUCAAAUUUUUAACCACACACUGCACGUCAUGUCAAGACAUGUCAAGUUUACAGUAAAUUGCUCUUUGGGAAUCACCUCGUUGACUAUUUUAUGCCUGUCAAACUGUUAUCUUUGGCAUUUUCAUAUAUUCAACUAAAGAAAUCAGAACAAACUCAGUUUUGUGACGGGCUGCUACAAAGUGCCUAAAGAUACAAAUUGAAAAUUGUUUCUUUGCCAAGUUGGGUGUAGACAUGUACCUUGUUUAUGCAUGUCUUGAACUAUUGCUCAAGACCACCUUAAACAAAAGAAAAGUCUGGCUUGGAAGAAAAAUAUGACAAAAUGAAGGCUGGUUCAAGACACUCAUUUUCCAGUUAAAUGGGUUGAUUUGUCUGCAGAGAGACAGGCAAAUUGACUGGUGAGGCCUUAUCUUGUAACAUCAGUAGCUGACCUUACUAAUAAUCUUGUGGCCUUAUGGGAGCAAAAAUUCCUACUGCCAAAAGUAAUAAUGGAAAGCACAUCCAGAAGAGGGAAGGCUGCAUAGUCCACAGAUUUGUAAUGCAAUGUGUAUCAUAUUGGUGCAAACCUCAGCUGAUCCCCCAGAAUAAAGCGUCAUCAGAAAAAGUUAUUUUUGAAUCCUGAAACCACCUUGAGUCCCAGAAGAGAUGCAAGCAAUAACAUCAACUGUGUAUCUCUCCCCUUGCUACAUUGCAUAGUUUGAAAACUACAGUUUUCAAAUAAUCUGCUAAGCUUUUCCCUUCUUUGCUCUGUCUUCAGCUCCUUGUUAUUCUUCUCAGGAUUAUGACGGUGACGGCAGGGUCAGGAUGGCUUGAAGAAUGUGUUUGCAUUUCUGUAAUCAGUCUGCUACUUGAACUGAUGACUGACUCACAGAUGGAUAGAGAUGGCACACAUGCAUACUUGCAGCAUGGGGUAAUGUGGAGACAGGGAACUCACAUAUAAGCAUGGAUCACGGCAAAGACUUGUUAUUCUACAAACCUAAAGUCAGCAAUGAGUAAAAAUGUCAUUUUUGAAGUCAGAAUAAAAUAAUUAUUUUCAAAUCCUGACUGUAAUAUCUGAGCUCAGAAUCUUACAGUUAGGGCUGGAUAAGGUGACCUUGAAGCAUCACUUUUAUGCUGCAUAGGCUGCUGUAGGACUGUCUGUGAUACACUAAGCAUUUUUGCUAUACACCUCUUUUCACUCCAGGUGUUUCUAUAACACCGCUGUAUGCAGUUUUUUUUCUUCCCGUGUUUUGUCUCCAUCUCCCUCUGCUCUCCUUUUGUUUCCCCUCACCCCCAACUGGUCGCAGCAGAUGGCUGCCCCUCCCCGAGCCUGGUUUUACUGGAGGUUUCUUCCUGUUGAAAGGGAGUGUUUUUUUUUUCCCCCCACUACUGAUUUUGCAGUUUAGGCUACAUCAUAUUAAGAAAAUAUGCAAACAUAUCAGUUCCUGUUGAAAGGGAGACAUUUUCCAUUACUUAUUGUGAUUAUUCAUCUCUGAUAUCAUUUGUUCUGUACCUUGCAGCAUAUUGGGACAACUGUUGUUGUGAUUUGGAGCAAUAUAAAUAAGACAAUGGAAAAAUGA